CUUCUUCAAUAGGUAGUUGAAGCAUCAUAAAACGAUUUCCAUAAUCAUCAAACAAAGGAAUCAAUACCAUAUUUCUUGUGUUCUCAUCAAUAGCAUUAUUUUCGUCUGAAUUAUCCCUCAAAUUCAGAAAUAUAAAAAAAUAACCAAAACAACCAAUAAUCAAUUCAAAAUAAAGAUAAGAAUCACCAUGGUUAGAUCCGCCUCCCGUGCAUAGAGAUAUAACCCCCAUAAUGAGGAUCAUAAAGGGUAAUAGUAUCAUCAUUGACCAAAAGGCCCUUCGGAUAAAACCAAAAAUCUUAGGCAUAUUAGGGAAGGAAACUUAUAUAGUAUUUUUUUGUAAUUCACUACCAAAAUAUUUUGUUGUCGAAAAUUAUAUCAAUUUGUUUAAGGAGAGAAUCACAG